GCGGCGGACGGGUGAGUAACACGUGGGCAACCUGCCCUGCAGACUGGGAUAACUUCGGGAAACCGGAGCUAAUACCGGAUAACACCGAAAACCGCAUGGUUUUCGGUUGAAAGGCGGCUUUUACCUGUCACUGCAGGAUGGGCCCGCGGCGCAUUACCUAGUUGGUGAGGUAACGGCUCACCAAGGCAACAAUGCGUAGCCGACCUGAGAGGGUGACCGGCCACACUGGGACUGAGACACGGCCCAGACUCCUACGGGAGGCAGCAGUAGGGAAUCUUCCGCAAUGGACGAAAGUCUGACGGAGCAACGCCGCGUGAGCGAAGAAGGUCUUCGGAUCGUAAAGCUCUGUUGUCAGGGAAGAACAAGUGCCGUUCGAACAGGGCGGUACCUUGACGGUACCUGACGAGGAAGCCACGGCUAACUACGUGCCAGCAGCCGCGGUAAUAC
rnacentral:rRNA from 1 species